UUCCUUCAUUUUAUGUUAUUGUUGAUUUUUCCGGUUCACGGUUCUUGAAAUACAAUAUUGCAAGCACUCUCAAACAUGAAUAGUUGAUGUUCAUAAUGAUGUCAGAUGAUAUACUCCUAGGUCGAGGGACAGGAGCUAGAAAGCCUUUUAACAGUUAAAUGGAGAACCAACCGGGCCAAGAUAUUGACGACCAAGAAAACGCAAAGCUAAAUAAAACAGAAAAUGGUAACACGGAAUCCAUACAUGAUACUACAUUGUCUGAAAACAUUCAGAUUCGAGACAAUAAUUAUAAAUGUGACACAUCUACUAGACGUGACAGCAAUGAUAAUGAUUCGUUACGGUCUGGAAAAUCGGCACAAAAUCAGCAAAGAACUGAGACAUAUUUGAAAUCAGAAAACGAACAAAUGGACCUUAAAUCUAACGGUACAGAUAAAACUAUAGAUAUAACUGAAUCUAGACUCCCUGCAAUAGACAGACAUGAAAAUAGCAGUCUUCAACAUUCCGGUCAUCCUGCUGAUGCUGACGCAACGUCAGAUUUUGGUGACGAAUACGACAUGUCUGAUGAACAGUCAGAUGAAAACGAACCAUUUAUUGCAACUAUUUAUACAUGCCAAUCAUGUGGAUGGAAACCCCACAUGGAAAAAUGUUCUGUUCAUAGACCUUUCCAGACGGGGUUUUCGAACGGUGUUUAUCAGUAUCAAGGAAUAAUGCCGAGUCAAGUCCAUAGUUAUCAAAACUAUAACUUUUCUGGUUAUACUGCUGGACAGAGACCUGUAUACCCUAGUGUACAGCCAAGGCAAACUGUUGACAUGCGCUUUAAUCCUGCUACUAGCCAAGUUGUUGCAGUACCAUCAGUGGUAGUUAAUCAGACAGAAAAUUUAAACGACUACAUCAGAACAAUACAGAGUCUUCGAAGAAGAGCGUUUUGUCUGAGUAUAAUCAUGAUUGUUCUUGUAUUUGGUGUAGUAACACUUGCCAUUUUAAUGUCAUAGAAACUUGACUAUGAAAAGAUAUUUUUAAUAAUAUUGAAGUUGUUUUGCCCUA